GAUGAAGAACGUAGCGAAAUGCGAUACGUAAUGUGAAUUGCAAAUUCAGUGAAUCAUCGAGUCUUUGAACGCACAUUGCGCCCCCUGGUAUUCCGGGGGGCAUGCCUGUCCGAGCGUCAUUACUGCCCUCAAGCCCGGCUUGUGUGUUGGGCCCCGUCCUCCGAUCCCGGGGGACGGGCCCGAAAGGCAGCGGCGGCACCGCGUCCGGUCCUCGAGCGUAUGGGGCUUUGUCACCCGCUCUGUAGGCCCGGCCGGCGCUUGCCGAUCAACCCCAAUUUUUUAUAGGUUGCCCUCGGAUCAGGUAGGGAUACCCGCUGAACUUAAGCAUAUCAAUAAGCGGAGGA
rnacentral:misc_RNA from 1 species